rnacentral:rRNA from 1 species
AGAGUUUGAUCCUGGCUCAGGAUGAACGCUGGCGGCGUGCCUAACACAUGCAAGUCGAGCGGCAGCGCGAGUAGUUUACUACUUGGCGGCGAGCGGCGGACGGCUGAGUAACGCGUGGGAAUUUGCCCCAAAGUGAGGAAUAACUGCCCGAAAGGGUGGCUAAUGCCGCAUAUGAUCUUCGGAUUAAAGGAUUUAUCCGCUUUGGGAGAAGCCCGCGUCGGAUUAGGUAGUUGGUGAGGUAAUGGCUCACCAAGCCGACGAUCCGUAGCUGGUCUGAGAGGAUGACCAGCCAGACUGGAACUGAGACACGGUCCAGACUCCUACGGGAGGCAGCAGUGAGGAAUCUUCCACAAUGGGCGAAAGCCUGAUGGAGCAACGCCGCGUGCAGGAUGAAGGCCUUCGGGUUGUAAACUGCUUUUAUAAGUGAGGAAUAUGACGGUAGCUUAUGAAUAAGGAUCGGCUAACUACGUGCCAGCAGCCGCGGUCAUACGUAGGAUCCGAGCGUUAUCCGGAGUGACUGGGCGUAAAGAGUUGCGUAGGCGGUUUGUUAAGUGAAUAGUGAAAUCUGGUGGCUCAACCAUACAGGCUAUUAUUCAAACUGGCAAACUCGAGAGUGGUAGAGGUCACUGGAAUUUCUUGUGUAGGAGUGAAAUCCGUAGAUAUAAGAAGGAACACCGAUGGCGUAGGCAGGUGACUGGACCAUUUCUGACGCUAAGGCACGAAAGCGUGGGGAGCGAACCGGAUUAGAUACCCGGGUAGUCCACGCCGUAAACGAUGGAUACUGGCUGUUGGAGGUAUCGACCCCUUCAGUAGCGAAGCUAACGCGUUAAGUAUCCCGCCUGUGGAGUACGGUCGCAAGACUAAAACAUAAAGGAAUUGACGGGGACCCGCACAAGCGGUGGAUCGUGUUCUUUA